GAAUUUUUCUGAAUUAAAUCUCUGCUGACCAAACAAAAUUAACAUGAAAACACAAUGCCAUGUGUCAUUUAUUAUGGGAAGUAAUACAAGCACAUUCAUUAACUUCCUUACAUUACCUCGACCAUCUUCAUAACUCGCAUUCCUUAUCAAUAAAAUAGUUACAUUACCUUAACGAUCUUCGUAACUCGCAUUCCUUAUCAUUAUUAUUUUAUUGGUCCUCGAAACUCAAACCUUGAGAUCACUUCAUGUCUUCAGCCUUACCAUCACUAGGAGUCUGAGUGCAUCCAUCUUUAGCAACAGCAGUAAUCUGCACCCCCAAGUCAUAGACAGCACCAACCUUCCAGUCUGCCGGUAAUGGCCGCACGGAAUACACCAUCAACCUGUCAUACCCUCCGAUCACAAACAGCCGGAACUGAAUUGGUCCGAUCGGAGCAUUCCUCGUCUCCCACACCGCCCCAAACUUCCGGCUCAUAAACCGAUAGUCCGACGAACCUACCUUAACCACAUCCACCACCAGGAUGUCAGUCUGCCCACCCUGGUACAAGAACUUGAUCACAAGAUUACUCGGCUUCGUGCUGACCUUCUCAACCAUAACCGAUAGGUUCUUGUUGUACUCACAUGGUAUCCUCCUGUACACGACGUCUAGGAUAGGACGCUUGUUGAGUUCAGAGGCCUUCCCAGCUCGUGCUAGGGCGGUGAAAGCUUGCUCGCUGAGGAGGAAGUCGGUGCGGUUGCUCUUGGUGAGGUCUGUGAGGACUACAUUAGCGCCAACGGUGUUACAGAGCUUCUUGUCCUUGCAUUUUAAAUUGUAACAUGCCCCACACCCGACUCCAUCUCGAAACAGGGUGGAGCUCCCACCGGCCACAUUGCCUCCGUUGAAGCCUGGCGCCAAUGGACCAAACCCACAAGCCCCAGCGGAAACAGCAGAGGGGUAAGGGAACUUGGAAACUUUUGCUGGAAUGUGACACUGAUCACUACUAACAGCGAAGGAGAGGUGGAGCAUGAGAAAGAUGGAGGCAAGCAGGGGAAGACCCAUAGCCAUUGUCGAGGCAGACAGAGAGAGGU
rnacentral:misc_RNA from 1 species